ACUCAAACAACAAACAACUUGCCAUCAGGAUUGACAUAGCAGUUUUGUGAUGUUCUGAGUUUGAUUCAUGGAAAGGUCACCAGAGGUUGUUACGAAUGGCUGAAGAACAUUGCUGACAUCCAAACACUCGUGUGCUCUGAUGUCAGAGAAUGAAAAG
rnacentral:lncRNA from 1 species